rnacentral:rRNA from 1 species
UGCGUAGGUGGUUUUGUAUGUCGGAUGUGAAAGCCCAUGGCUCAACCGUGGAAUUGCAUCCGAAACUGCAAAGCUUGAGUACAGGAGGGGAGAGCGGAAUUCUUGGUGUAGCGGUGAAAUGCGUUGAUAUCAAGAAGAACACCGGUGGCGAAGGCGGCUCUCUGGAAUGUUACUGACACUGAGGCACGAAAGUCGGGGUAGCAAACAGGAUUAGAUACCCUGGUAGUCC